AGGGAGAGAGAGAGAGAGAGAGAGAGAGAGAGAGAGAGAGAGAGAGAGAGAGGAUUACCUCCAAAAGAUGAUCUGCCCCAAGGAAGCCAUGGAGAGGGAGUUCCUUCCCACAGUCCUGCUGUGUGUGGGGCCAGAUUUUGAGAGGCCAUGAGCUGAAGCUACAAGAACCCUGGUGUGCCCUGGUGUUGAAGAACUCUGACAAAGCUAAGUGAGGAGAUCUGAUUUCCUUUCAGGGAGAGGGUGAGGGGACCUGUCCCUACUCCCAUUUCUUAAUGCUGCUUUGAGGUUCCAG
rnacentral:lncRNA from 1 species